rnacentral:rRNA from 1 species
UAGGGAAUCUUCGGCAAUGGACGAAAGUCUGACCGAGCAACGCCGCGUGAGUGAAGAAGGUUUUCGGAUCGUAAAACUCUGUUGUUAGAGAAGAACAAGGACGUUAGUAACUGAACGUCCCCUGACGGUAUCUAACCAGAAAGCCACGGCUAACUACGUGCCAGCAGCCGCGGUAAUACGUAGGUGGCAAGCGUUGUCCGGAUUUAUUGGGCGUAAAGCGAGCGCAGGCGGUUUCUUAAGUCUGAUGUGAAAGCCCCCGGCUCAACCGGGGAGGGUCAUUGGAAACUGGGAGACUUGAGUGCAGAAGAGGGGAGUGGAAUUCCAUGUGUAGCGGUGAAAUGCGUAGAUAUAUGGAGGAACACCAGUGGCGAAGGCGGCUCUCUGGUCUGUAACGGACGCUGAGGCUCGAAAGCGUGGGGAGCAAACAGG